CGGGGGGAGCAAGCGUUGUUCGGAUUUUACUGGGCGUAAAGGGCGCGUAGGCGGCCACCGCAAGUCGACUGUGAAAUCUCCGGGCUUAACCCGGAAAGGUCAGCCGAUACUGCGGGGCUAGAGUGCAGAAGGGGCAACUGGAAUUCUCGGUGUAGCGGUGAAAUGCGUAGAUAUCGAGAGGAACACCUGCGGCGAAGGCGGGUUGCUGGGCUGACACUGACGCUGAGGCGCGAAAGCUAGGGGAGCGAACGGGAUUAGAUACCCCGGUAGUCCUAGCCUUAAACGAUGAAUGCUUGGUGUCUGGGGUUUUAUAGUCCCCGGGUGCCGUCGCUAACGCUUUAAGCAUUCCGCCUGGGGAGUACGGUCGCAAGACUG
rnacentral:rRNA from 1 species